GGAUUAGGCAUGCAAGUCGAACGAGGAUAUAUCCUUCGGGAUAUAAGCCGAGUGGCGCAAGGGUGAGUAAUGCAUAGAUUACCUGCCUCUAGGAUAAGGACAACUUUGUGAAAACGAAGCUAAUACUUAAUAAUACAAAAGAAAAUAAUUUUUUUUUGUCAAUGGGAGGGUAGCAAUACCUUUUGCCUAGAGAGGGGUUUAUGUCCUAUCAGCUUGUUGGAGGGGUAAUGGCCUACCAAGGCAAAGACGGGUAGCCGGUCUUAGAGGAUGGUCGGCCACACUGGGACUGAGACACUGCCCAGACUUCUACGGAAGGCUGCAGUCGAGAAUCUUUCGCAAUGCCCGAAAGGGUGACGAAGCGACGCCGCGUGAGUGAGGAAGGCCUUAGGGUUGUAAAGCUCUGUCAGGAGUUAAGAAAUAUAAGUGUGCUAAUACCACAUUUAUUUGACGAAGGCUCCAAAGGAAGCCACGGCUAACUCUGUGCCAGCAGCCGCGGUAAUACAGAGGUGGCAAGCGUUGUUCGGAAUUAUUGGGCGUAAAGAGCACGUAGGUGGGUUUGUAAGUCAGAUGUGAAAGCCUUCUGUUCAACGGAAGAAUUGCAUCUGAAACUGCAAGUCUUGAGUGUAGGAGGGGAGAAUGGAACUUCUGGUGGAGCGGUGAAAUGCGUAGAUAUCAGAAGGAACGCCGGCGGCGAAAGCGAUUCUCUGGCCUAUUACUGACACUCAGUGUGCGAAAGCUAGGGGAGCAAACGGGAUUAGAUACCCCGGUAGUCCUAGCCGUAAACGAUGGGCACUAAGUAGAGGGAAUUACCGAUGUUCUCUCUGCCGUAGCUAACGCAUUAAGUGCCCCGCCUGGGGAGUACGGCCGCAAGGCUAAAACUCAAAAGAAUUGACGGGGGCUCGCACAAGCGGUGGAGCAUGUGGCUUAAUUCGAUGCAACGCGAAAAACCUUACCGGGGCUUGACAUGGUAGAAGUAGGAACCCGAAAGGGUAACGAACGGUAUCCAGUCCGUAGCUAUCACAGGUGUUGCAUGGCUGUCGUCAGCUCGUGUCGUGAGACGUUGGGUUAAGUCCCCUAACGAGCGAAACCCUUGUUUUUAGUUACCAGCGGGUUAUGCCGGGUACUCUAGAAAGACUGCCGUCGUCAAGACGGAGGAAGGUGGGGAUGACGUCAAGUCAUCAUGGCCCUUAUGCCCCGGGCUGCACACGUGCUACAAUGGUCGGUACAAACGGAAGCGAAGCCGAGAGGUGAAGCGAAUCCUAAAAAGCCGAUCUCAGUUCGGAUUGGAGGCUGAAAUUCGCCUCCAUGAAGUUGGAAUCGCUAGUAAUCGCGGAUCAGCAAUGCCGCGGUGAAUAUGUUCCCGAGCCUUGUACACACCGCCCGU
rnacentral:rRNA from 1 species